AUGUUUUCAACAGAUGAGAAAGCAGCAUGUUUUAAAAGAACCAAUCUUCUCACCAAAAGAAAAUUGCGAUUCUGAAGCUAAAAGUACAAAUUAAAUAACUAAUCAGAAGGCAGAAACUAAAAAGAAGAAAUCGUUAUUAUUAAGACUUGUUGUUCUUUACGCUAAAAACACAAAUCAAACAACCAAUCAGAUGUGACAAGCUCAAAGAACGAACAGAUCUUUUUACCACAGAAUAGAGCUCACAAGUGAGCGAGCAAUGAGAUUAUGGAGAGACUGGACGAGCAUUAGGGUUUUGAUUUGGGUAGUGAGGCAGCAAUGAAGAAUUGGCGUUUCCAGUGAUUAUAUAGGGAGAGCGAGUGUGGAAAAAG
rnacentral:lncRNA from 1 species